rnacentral:rRNA from 1 species
AUUGAACGCUGGCGGCAUGCUUUACACAUGCAAGUCGAACGGGAACAGGCCGCAAGGUGCUGACGAGUGGCGAACGGGUGAGUAAUGCAUCGGAACGUGCCAGUCGUGGGGGAUAACGCAGCGAAAGCUGUGCUAAUACCGCAUACGAUCUGUGGAUGAAAGCGGGGGACCGAAAGGCCUCGCGCGAUUGGAGCGGCCGAUGUCAGAUUAGGUAGUUGGUGGGGUAAAGGCUCACCAAGCCAACGAUCUGUAGCUGGUCUGAGAGGACGACCAGCCACACGGGGACGGAGACACGGCCCAGACUCCUACGUGAGGCAGCAGUGGGGAAUUUUGGACAAUGGGCGCAAGCCUGAUCCAGCAAUGCCGCGUGCAGGAAGAAGGCCUUCGGGUUGUAAACUGCUUUUGUACGGAGCGAAAAGGCUCUCUCUAAUACAGGGGGCUCAUGACGGUACCGUAAGAAUAAGCACCGGCCAACUACGUGCCAGCCGCCGCCGUAAAAC